GCCAGCGUAGCUCAGUUGGUAGAGCUACUGAUUUGUAAUCAGUGGGUCGGGGGUUCGAAUCCCUUCGCUGGCUCCA
rnacentral:tRNA from 1 species